rnacentral:tRNA from 1 species
GCCUGGCUGGCUCAGUGGGAAGAGCAUGUGACUCUCAAUCUCUGGGGACUGUGAGUUCGAGCCCCAUGUUGGGUA